AGCGAACGCUGGCGGCAGGCUUAACACAUGCAAGUCGAGCGGGCGUAGCAAUACGUCAGCGGCAGACGGGUGAGUAACGCGUGGGAACGUACCUUUUGGUUCGGAACAACACAGGGAAACUUGUGCUAAUACCGGAUAAGCCCUUACGGGGAAAGAUUUAUCGCCGAAAGAUCGGCCCGCGUCUGAUUAGCUAGUUGGUAGGGUAAUGGCCUACCAAGGCGACGAUCAGUAGCUGGUCUGAGAGGAUGAUCAGCCACAUUGGGACUGAGACACGGCCCACACUCCUACGGGAGGCAGCAGUGGGGAAUAUUGGACAAUGGGGGCAACCCUGAUCCAGCCAUGCCGCGUGAGUGAUGAAGGCCCUAGGGUUGUAAAGCUCUUUUGUGCGGGAAGAUAAUGACGGUACCGCAAGAAUAAGCCCCGGCUAACUUCGUGCCAGCAGCCGCCGUAA
rnacentral:rRNA from 1 species